UACGAAGGGGGCUAGCGUUGUUCGGAAUCACUGGGCGUAAAGGGCGCGUAGGCGGCUUGACAAGUCAGGUGUGAAAGCCCCGGGCUCAACCCGGGAAUUGCACUUGAUACUGUCGGGCUAGAGUCCGGAAGGGGCGAGUGGAAUUCCUGGUGUAGCGGUGAAAUGCGCAGAUAUCAGGAGGAACACCAAUGGCGAAGGCAGCUCGCUGGGACGUGACUGACGCUGAGACGCGAAAGCGUGGGGAGCAAACAGG
rnacentral:rRNA from 1 species